GUAUUACCUGGCAGGUGAGAGACCACGAUCAAGAAGUUGGUUCUCCCAGGACGAGGUUCCUCCAUUGCACUUUGGAGGGGUUGACCCCUGUGAUUUCCUCAAAUGCAGGAAACUCAACUGCAUAAUUUUUAUGGUAGAUGAAGGUAAACGUGCUGAG